CAGGUGGAGAGUGAGGACUUCAUCAGUAACUGCCUGCCUGCUCGCCCCCUGGCCCAGCUGCUGGUUUCCCUGGUAACUGAUGAGACAACGUGACAUAACUUGCCCCUAUAAAUGGUAGCCUGCUUCUCUCCUGAGUAGCCAAGGCUGCUGCCGUGUCCUGCCUGCAAUCUGCUACACAUGGUGGAGCUGUCGUUCCAGGACCUUUUGCUUCAGACUUCUAAGAUCCCUCGUCCACUAAACCACUGAUGUCUCUGUCGCUGUACCUGGGGUCUUACUCAGGUCUCAAGGCUGAGCAACUACAAGGCUUCCAGGCCUGUGGGAUGCAGCCCAAUAAUUGAUGAGCAGUCAAGAAGCCGAGGAAACUCUUCAGGGACAGGGGACAAAUAGAAGAAGAACAAAACUGGGAAUGUGAAGAGGAAGAGCUAGACAAUACUGCUGACAUGGUAAAGCCAUCACCCUGGUCUCAGGUAGCUCAUGUGGGCUCCAGACCCUUGACUCUUCCAGAGUAAUUAACACACAAAGGAGAACACAGCAUCACUCCUCAGAUCAUUAUGAACCCAGUGUCUACUUUGUUUUUGACCUCAAGUUGAAUAUACAUGGCAGAAAUCCAGAGGGAGAGCAUGAAGACUCAGAUUUUAAAAUUGGAGUGCCAACUUCCUUAAAACAUCUGGAGUUUUGAUGAAGAUUACAUUGAAUCUGCAGAUCAAUUUGAGAACUUCUGACAUCUGGAUUUUGAGACUUUCAAUCCAUGAACAAGAGAUAUUCUUCUAUUUAUUUAAGUCAUUCUUUUAAUGAUUUCUGGUUUCUGGUGUACAAGUCUUAUACUUUUCAUUAAACUUAUUUCUAAGAA